GUAGAGCAGGACAGUUACCUCCUGUGUCUUACAUAAAACACUCCUGCUAAUGCUGUUAGAGGUGCAAAAUCUUUGUGUAGACAAGUCCUACGAAUCCUGGGAAAAGUCCUGUGCCAACUCAGGAGAUGACUGUGCUACAGAGACUGUACUGGCUUAGCUAUGCCAGCGUAGCUCCAGAGCGUAGCUGCAUCCAACACUGACAAAAGAAAUUGUAGGAACACCACUUCCUUGGGCAACGGAAACAUUCUUCGGUUGACUUAGCUGUGUCUAUGCGGAGGGUUUUGUUGGGUUGCUGAGGAGUGUAGUUUUUUCACACUCCCGAUAGACAUAGCUACGCUGAAAUAACUUUCAAGUGGAGGUGAAGUCUAGGAAAACAAGCCAUGUUUGAAAAUGUGUUAGCUAGCAUGUUUUCAAACAUGGCCUCUCUUCCUGCUGUAGACACAUUUUAACCCCUUUAAAAACUUGUUAGUUGGUCAUGAUCCACUCCUGGGGGGCUGGGGAGAAUGGGAAACUUUCGGGGUUUGGCCUAAGAGGAGAAAUACGGGUUACGUUCAGUGUUACAAGGGUUAAUUGUAUCCCUCAGUAUGCUCUCCUGAUUUGUAACCCUGGCCAUCACAAACUGAAAAGAGGGAGGCGGUGUGAGUCAGCAGACCUGGAUUCUGUUCCCACCUCUACCGCUAACCUGCGGUGCGACCUUGGAUAGAUCGAUAAUUCUCGUUUUACAUUCUCCUCCGAUUCAUGUGGCGAUUGGGUCAUUGUACAGAUUCCUUUAAAAAGUAACUACCUUGCAAUGACUAAAAAAAAAAUCUUGCUAAUUUCCAUCCUUUUAGGAGUGACUGUUGAUCAUUUCCUGUCUCAGCCACAUAAUCACAUUAUUUUGAUCGGAGUGGAAGUGUGCUCAAGCAUUUUUUCAGUAUAAGGAAUGGGGAGAGGACCAUGAAGAGACCACACCUGCAAUUUCAGGCUUCCAGAUGCUGGGAAUUCUUUGAGGACUUGCAUCAUAUGCUGAUGCCCAAGGAACACUGAGCAAGGCAUUGGGAAUAAUGAAGGCUUUUAAUGUACUGCAAUAUAUUGCUUCAAUGAGGAGAGGAUUUUUGCCACAUUAUACAGCAGUGAAACUCGUUCCACCACUGACAGCCAAAAAAAGUCUCACCUUUUUUCCGAGACAGCCAUUACCUCCAGCUAGAAUUUUUAUAUGCAAAUUAAGGUAGCAGCAGCAGAAACAGUCAUAUGGAGAACCAAAGACCAUUUGGGGCAUUCCUUUCUAGCACUAACUGGAGCAUGGUUCAGAUAACUAUUUUUGUCUUCUGUCCUACACUCGGGACUUGUAUUCUGGCUCUUUGAGCAAUUCUCAGAACCUUUUUACCUAUGAUUUAUGGUACUUAUUAUUCCCAUGGCAAAGGAAACCCACGAUGAAGAAUCUAAAAUGUUGGAAAUUCCAAUUAAUGGAUCUUCUGUGCAACCUGUGGAGCUCCUUGCCAAAUGAUGAUGUGAAGGCCAAGACUAUAACAAGGUUCAAAAAAGAACUAGAUAAAUUCAUGGAGGACAGGUUCAUCAAUGGCUAUUAGCCAGGAUGGGCAGGGAUGGUAUCCCUAGCCUCUGUUUGCCAGAAGAUGGGAAUAGGCGACGGGAUGGAUCACUUGAUGAUUACCGGUUCUGUUCAUUCCCACCUUUCCUUUUGGACCCCUAGAGCUCGUCUCCUCAGAGUUGCAGUUGAACUAGAAGUGUGGCCUUAAUCCUAUGUAGCUAAACCUGUGCAAAUUCUCUCUUGUGUUGGAGUGGCUUAGUUUAAGGUGAUGAGGAGCUGAGCUACAAGAUGACACUUCCACUGAAAUAUGAGAGAGUGCCCGUGUAAGGGUUUGUCUGGGUUUAACUAAGCCAGUGCAAGUUUGUGGGGAGACAAGGCCUAAUACACACAGCGUCUUCCUUACAUUCCUUUGUGAAACUCUUGCAGCAAACAAGUGGAUCCAAGGCUGUCUGUAGUGUCUUUUCCCCGCCAACAUUUCACCCACUGCAGGUCUGGAUGGGAGUGCCAACUGGACCAGCCACUGGCAUAUCAACCACCAGGUCAUCUAAUGCUGCUCGGAGCAAGGCUAGACCAAGUGGUGUCUAAAAUGCUGGUAGCCACUAGAGCACUGCCUACAAACCAGCACUCCAUCGUUGCUGCCAGUGGUGCCACUGUGCUCAUGGUAGCAACAGUGGGAAAUUUUAGGGCAAAAGGACUGGCUUGGACAAGGCCAAAGGAUAACACAGGAUAUGGCAGGAUAAUAUCAGGACUCCAAGACUUAGAGAAUGUUCUAAUGAGUAUUGAAAAAUAUACUGUACUCUGGGCAUGGUCCAAUCACACUGAGGUUGCUCUGGCAAAGUUUGAUAAUUGUUUUUUAGUGUAGAAUUAUCAGUCAGAGUGGGGUAGGUAGGGCAGCAAGCCUGUUAGGGCUUUUAUCUUCCCAGAACCUGGGAACAAAGAACACGGGAGAGGAAACCGGGUUGGCCAGUUGUGGGGGGUUGUGCAUUUAUCGGUCUGGGAGUUCAAAGAAAAAGGAUGCAACAGUCAAAUACACAAAUGUAUCUGGGGGUCAACUGAUAAGUUGCAUUUCAAAGCAAAAGACAAUCUUAAAGAGACAGUGCCGAGUAGCUGAGGCCUAGAACGUUAGUUUUUGUUUAAAAAAAAAAAAGAGAGAGAGAGAGAGAGAGAGGGAGGAUUUCACAAAAACUAAUAUCAACAGAAAUGGUUUCUCUGUGGUUUGACACAUUCCAGACAUGCCAUGACUCUUCCUGUCAAGGAUGAGCAGUCUCUGGUUUUUGCAGUGUAUUUGUUAGUUUCAAGCCAGUUCUCUUUAUCCACAGUCUUUCAGUGUAGCUCACUGGUCCCUGCUUUUCCACUCCAAAUGAUGCUCAUGCUGGUGCCAAAUGACAUGACGGGAAUAUUGUGCUGGAUCAUGGAAAACAGAAAAUGAAAGCCAGUUUCACUGCCCCAGCUGAACGAAAUAGCAGAAACCAAAUAGCUUUAAAUGGGGAAAAGUGAGAGCUACAAAAUUAUUCCUGUGUCAGUAAUGGAAGAGGUGUUAUGAUUAUAUGCCUAGCGGGUAGAAUUCUACUUUAAUGCACAGCGCUUGAUUCCUCAUUGUCUUGGACUUUGUGCUGUCCUGGGCACUCAUUUUGCAUGGGGGUGAAUGACUGUUCUGGGUGAAGAAUGUGACCCACAUUGAGAUUUUAACUCUUGGUGGUGCUCUAACUCUUGGUUUCUCAGAACAUUCAAAGACAUGGUGCCUUAGGCUUUGUUUAUGCUCAAAAAGUGGUGCUGAUUUUACUAUCCCGGUAUGAACUAUUAAUCCCUGUAGUGGGGAUGCGGUUAUAAUGGCAUCCAGCAUCUUUGCUAUCCAUGCUAGGAGUUGUACUGUAACAAAUUGCUUAAAAAUAAAUCCCACCACUCACCGACAUAGUUAUACCUGUUCAAAAACUGGGUGUAGACUUGGCUUGAGUGAAGUACUCAUCCACAGCUUUAGCUGGGACAAUUUGCCUGGCCCCUGAAGCAGGGCUCUUGCAGAAGAGCCCGUAGAACUAACCGCCUGUCUACACACACAAGUUACACUUGUUUAACUUAAAUCUGUUUAAAAACCAAUUGAGUAAAACUGGUGCAACCCCCGGCAUUGACACGCUUAUGUUAGCUUCAAAUGGGUUGUAUCAGGUUAGCUUGCAUUUAGCCAGGUUUAAAUAAACUUAGGAGUGUCCCAACGCAAAGUUGCACCUGUUAAAAAACAUAUCUGUAAUUAUAUGUGUGCAACUUUGUGUGUAAACCAGGCCUAAUAGACCUUGUUGUCUGGUGCAAGUAGGAAAGGGGUACUAUGUGGGUGUCUGUCCCACAGGCUGGGGUAACCUCUCUUAUAUGGCCUCCAUCACGUAGUAUUUGAGUACUUCACAAAGCCUCUAUGAGGUGGGGAAGUGCUAGUGUCCCCAUUUUACAGAUGGGAAGACUGAGGCUUGUCCAAGGUCACACAGGAAGUCUGUGGUGGAGCAGGGAACUGAAGCUGAGGCUCCCAAGUCCCCUGGACCAUCCUUCCCUUCCAAGGAGUAUGAUGGAGUACAUAGAACUUCUUUGUGUCUCAGACUAAUAAUUGUCUUCCCAAUUUCAUAGAUUCAUAGAUACUAAGGUCAGAAGGGACCAUUCUGAUCAUCUAGUCCGACCUCCUGCACAGCGCAGGCCACAGAAUCUCACCCACCCACUCCUACAAAAAAACUUUCCUCUCCACGAUGAAGUCUGGCUAAGUCCUAGCAGUGAGUGCAGACACAGAUUGUGGGGUGGGAAAUGGAGGGCCAGGCAGUCUCUGCCUGAAAGCAGCAAUAAAAGAAAUGUUCUGUAGGAAUUAACUCUCUGGUUUCUUUUUAUUUUAUUAAACGUGACUGGCUAUCACGUGCUCAAAAAAGGGGAACGCAAGGAAGAGACAUUAACCCAUGGAAACUUGAAUUCCCACCCCACCCCUACAGAUGAGGCAUGUGGGUGCAGCAACAUAGAGAUGGGGGAAUUUGCUCUACACUUGCCCUGGCUGUAGGUCUGUGGAUCGAGAGAACUUUGACCAUCAGUUUAAAAAGUUUUAAAGAGAAAAGAAAUCACAUCCGUUGGAUGCUCAACAUACAUUUUGAUCAUAUCGGGGAGUUUAAUCUUUCAGCCUCCUAUAGACACUUACCACAUUGGGUUUGUUUUCAAGUUGCUGUGAUUGGACUUGCCAUUAAAGGUCGCAGUGCUGAUGGGGCAUGCAGGUCUUUCCCUUUCUAAGAAUCAAAGGCUGGACAGGCAUGGGCUGUGGAGAGUUUUUUUUUUUUCUACUCAGCACAGCUUAUGAAGAAUGAUUUUGAAGUGGGUGUUUUGGCCUUUCAAGGUCUCUAUGCUGGAAGUGUUUAUGAGUGUGGAACUGUCAUACUUCGGAAAAGCACUAGAAAAAGCUUUUAAUAUUCCAAUAACUAUAUAUGUGGUUGCUGUUUGCAGAGUUGUUGUUUCUAACCAAGAUAAUCUCUCCAGAGUUUUAUCUACUGGGCAAAACAAGUGAACCUUGAAUUGCAUUUUACUCUCAGAUUUCAAUUGUAUGGAUAUAACAAAAGGUUACUUGGAGAUACUCUGUUAUCUUUGUAUUGACAUGUCCUUGUCUGAUACUUGUUGCUUGAAAAUCUCCAUUCUCUGUGUGUGUGUUUUCUAAAAGGGUAAAAAUAGAUAGAGUGCCUGUAUGGACAGAGGAAGCAUAAGUGCAAGUUGCACACCAAAAAAAUAAAAAAGGGUAUUGGAAACCAAUGGAAUAACCAGAAGUUUUUACAGAACAGGAAAUAAUUGCACCUUGUUCAAUCAUUUGAAGUCUUUAAAUCAAGAUUGGAGACUGUUCUAACAGCAAUUUCUGCUUCAGCCACAGAGUAUUGGGAUCAGUGAAGGAAUUCUAUGACUUCUAUCAUGCAAGAGGUCAGACGAGGUGAUCUUAAUGGCCGGAAAAUCUGCGAUUCAUAUUCUGAGCAUGGUCAAAUUUUGGAGCUUCCAGAGAGGUUUGCCUUGGAGGGAUGGGCCCACAAAACUAGUCCACUCUGUUCUGUCUUCCAUUCUUGAUACCCCCAAAUGAACUGGGGCCUUUGGAUUGUCUUGUUGGCUAGGGCGCAGUGAAAAUCAGGCCUGUUAUGUAAAUUUCAGUAUUGAUAGCUAAAAGCAAAUUCCACCUUGAUUUUUAGGGGCCUCCCAUGACCACAGGAAUUGUAGCUGCCUGACGCCAGCCGUGAUUCCAAACAAAUCUAAGGAUCAGUUGAUGGCCACAGUGUAACCAACAACUGUGUCUGCUUUUCUCCAUGUGGGAACUGAAGGCUGUGUUAUUGCAGUAUAGCAAAGAGGGGAGACAGGCUCAUAAGCAAGCAAAUAUACCCUUGUUACUGGCCACAAACUCCACACACAGACUGCCAAACCCAGAGCCACAGGAAGCUAGAAAGGCAAGGGAGAGAGGCUUUAGUUACUUGCCUGUAUAAAAACUCCCUGAGCAAAACAAACUCCAUUGCCACAGAGUGGCUUGUGGCAAUAAGAAAAUUCAAGAAAGUCCAGAGCAAUGGAGUAAUUUCAGAGAAUAAAGCUAAAACUGAUGUGUCUUCCUAUCCUUUACUCUGGCUUUCUGUGCAGCCAGAAGUAAAAACGAAGGUCACAAGUAGAACCAUGCACAGAAAUGAGCUCUGUCUAAUCACAGCUCCUGAUCCCUUGCAUGUGCACCUAAUGACCUGGAAAAUGACACCCACCCCCAUCCUUUGCCAUGCUACCAGUUCAACCAGUGAUCUCGAAUCCUGUGCCCCACUGAGUUAAUAGACCCAACCCUCUGGAAUUAGAAUAUGCAUUGUGGGGCUUGCCCACACUGCAACUUUUAAAUUACACUUAGAGGCCCUGUUUACAUGAGGAAAAGAGGUGUGUUUUUAACAAGUUAGCUAAUGUGUUCCAAUCCUAGUGUAGUUUUAACAUGUUAGCGGAUCAGGGUAAACACUAGCCUGAGGUAAACAGUUUUGCCAGCUGUGACAGGGCAAGGUCCAGCUCCUGUCUUCUGCUUUCUGUACACAGACUGUUCAGAGACCAUCCGUUGUUAAACAUCACGGUGUAGUUUAUUUACAUUGCUCUGCUCCCCACCUUUAACCAGGCAGACGCCACACCAUUUACACCCUCAGUUCCUCCUAUGCCGAGGAGAGGGAAGAGAUCUCUUCACCCAGGGAUUCUUCUUGUUUCUGGCUCCAUUAGCCUCUCCAGUACGUCCUUCCUGUGCUGCCUUCUACCCUCUCGUUAAUGGGCUAGGUCGUUAGUCCACCUUAGCCUACUCUGCUCUGCUAAUUAAGGCACAGUCAGGUCCACCCGGGGAGGUGGGGAGGCAAUGAAUUGGUGUUUAUGUGAUCAGGCUGCUGGUUCAGUUGCUGGUUCCCAGCUCUCUGUCACACCAACUCUGGUGAUUUUUAUCACAAGUCUCACAAUAUUUGUUGUCUUUUUUAAAGCCCCAGCUCUUGGAGUCAGCUGAUUAUAUGAGAAUCUCGGAUUUCACUUAAAAAAUCCCCAAAACAUUUCUAGUCCUCAUGGUCACGGAGAAAAGCUAGUUAUCCUAAAAGCCACCAUAAGAGAAAGCAAGUAAAAACAAUCCAAUUUUUUUAAAACCCCAUGAUCUUGUGAUUUUUGCGGAGGCUGACUCAUCACUUGGGAUUGGCAAUACUGGGUUAAUAUCUGUUAGUGUACAGUGAAAGCCGCCCAACAAAACACCUCUUUUUGGCAACCCCAUUUCUUCAUUGAACACUUUUAGGUAACCAUAAAGUAUCUAGUAAAAUGUUGUUUGAUCUUCAGUUAAAAUCCAACCUCUACUGCAGAAACUGAUUUUGCUGUUCCUUAAAGUUUUCACUAGUUAGAUGGAGGACUGAGAGUAGUUUAAUGUUUCCCUACUACAGCAGUAAGCUUGGCUAUCAAAGAAGGACAGACUCUUUUAGGAAGGUGACACAUACAUUUUUUUAAACCUCUGGAGAGUGAAUAGCUGACUAGUUGGGUAUCAGAUACACGUUGAAGUUAUCAUGCCAAAUAUUCAAUGAAUCUUUCAAUAAAAAUGGGAGUUGAUUCCUGAAUAAGUUGCUUCAUGGCAUUACUGAGUGAAGCUCGGACUCUUGCCUCAACUUGCAAACAGAUAAAAUUGUUGGUUGUUAGGUAAAUCAAUUGAAAAGCAAAGUUAUGCAAUUCUAAGUGACAUAAGUAGGGUAACUGACUUGGUGAGAAACACCCAGAUAAAGAAUAUGUUUCAUUCACACAGAGAUUCAAAAUGGAGUCUGCACCAGAGACCAAGAUUAACAGAUGUUAAACCUGGUUGGGCAUUCUUUGAAUACACAGGGCCUGACUCUCGUUUACACUCCGGUCCCUUUACACCACUCUGACAGUGUAAAAAGCCCUUAAAGUGUGUAAAUAUAAUUACAGCAGAGCAGUGUAAAGGGGCCUUUGUGUAAACAGAGAAUCGGGCCCAAAGUGCAUCGGGCAGUUGCCUUGUCUUGGGAAGAAGUUACUGUCAAAUGGCUGUGUGGGAAUCGUACCUUCUUUUUGGAGUAGGGAUCAGUGAGAAUUCCAAUUUGCUCCAAGCCAGGCUGGAUUCGUGUGUGAACCUGAUGCGUUCCACGAUUCGUGACAUCUCUAAUUUUCCUACACUGACACCUACUUCUUUAACUGCCAUUGUGAGUCAGGAACUAUUGGAACAAACCACCUAAUAAAAACCCUUCUAGUGCUUUACAUGUUCAAAAGAAUGCAGAAACAUUAAUCAGUUCUCACAAUCUGAGUAUUCCCCAGCGGUCUCCUAUCAGAAUACUGACACAGUUCCUGAGGUCUCAAGGCAUUGCAACACAAGGUUGUCCGGCAGCUGUCUGAAGAAAUUACAGAGGAAAAUUAUCUCAACAGGGAAAAGGAAACACUGUGGUAAAGCUGAUGUACUGUGAAAUCCUCUUUAAUGGUCGAUGUAGGUAACUCACUUAAAUGUGAAUGGUCAUCACAGCCAGAGUAAUCUGACAACGAACUUCUUAUCUGAGGGACAUGCAUAGGAGCAAACUCUCCAUCUUGCUAAGCAUUUUAAUAACCUAAUAGGUCUGUUGGGUUAUAAAUGGCUUUAAUUGGCUCUCCCACAUGUUGCAACAUUCUUUACCUGAAGCCAGGUGACAUUCAAAAAGAUGCAACGUUAUUUCUUACCUUUGGAAACCUCAGGGAAAUUGAAUAUGAUCCUACCAGCUUCCAUUGGUCUGUAGGAGCCAGGGGCAGCACCAGCAGGGAAUUCCUUUCACAAACUCAUUUUUGAUCCAUGUAUUUGGUUGAAUUAUUGCUAUGAGCUUGAUCCGUGCGUGACUCCCCAUCAUACGCACAUCUGCCCCUGACACCCACCACCUCAGCUUUGUCUAGGUCAGGAAAAUUGUGUAAAUGCUUCUCAUUGUUACUAACAACCGUUCGGCUCCAGGGGCACUAAUGACAUUGGGAGCCCAGCUCGUGGUAGGUCUAAUCAACACAGUGCUUAAAACACCAGCAGCAGCCUGUCUACGCUCCAUCUCCAGACACUGCUAAAAUCAAUGGAACUGAAGCACUGCUCGUAAUGGUGGGAAUUUUUUGCAAACUGUCCCAGUGUAGACAAGGUUUAAGUCAUGCAAACUGGUUGUGGUGAAACCCAGAAUAAAAUUUCACAUCAAUUUUUGUUCUCUUCUAUGUUUCCUCCAUCCUAAGCCUCCCAUAGAAUCAGGUUCUGUCCUGAGUCUAAGUAAAAUAAAUUAAAGGCUAGAUUCUCAGCUGAUGUAAAUUAGUGUUGCUCUAUUGACUACACAAAUUUAACACCAGCUAAAGAUCUGGUUCAAAGUCUUCUGAUUCUCCCUACAGUGCAUAACAUCAGUGAGAGUGAAUAUGUAGUGCAGUGGUAUAAAGUGGCAUUCCAUUGACUGGAUAACAAAUGUCUACUUCAUGCGAAUCCUUUGACAAACCAGCCAGAUAGGCAUGGAUAAACCAGAUUUUGCAGUGUGGUUGCCACUGCAUCCUUCUUGGUAGCCCCUUUUUAAAGUAAAGACUCUUAACGAAUGAGCCCACCAUUUAUUUAUUUAUUUAUUUUAUUUCAAAGCCCAUUCGAACAGCCAGCUAACAGGCUACAUCUAUAAUAGCUAAGGUUGGCAUUAGCACUGAGCUGAACUUGCACACAUAGGCCAUAUAUAACACUCGCUGGGAGUUGAUUGCACUGAUGCAUGAUAACAAAACUUCAUCAGAAUCUGAACAAAACAUAGUGAUUGUUUCCCUCACCUUGAUUUUAUGCUUUUUUUUUUUAAUUGAGUGAAUAGACAAAGCACAAUUCACUUUGUGUUAUUUUUCAGUCUCAUUGGCUGAUGGAUGUGAUUCUUAACUUGAACAAAUUUGAAGUUUUCUAAACCUUCCGUAACGUGGCCUUUGUGAGUUACUACCACAUCUGCAGGAGAAUAUGGUUUCUUUGGGGGAACGGAAAAAUACUUUUUCAUCCUCUUUUUGACUGGAUAAAAUCUAUUCAGUAGGAGCGGUCAAAACUCUUGUCAAAAUGUUUUGGCUAUUGUGAGAAAGAAAGUCUUUGAACCACAUGAAUGUUUUCAUAUCAUUUGAAAUUUUUCGGUUUUAAGAUGAAACAAUGCAAAACCGGAUAAGAGAAAAUAAGUCAUUUUUUUUGUUUUGAAUCUAAACAAAUUUUUUUUUCUUACUUAAUUGAAAUAAAACUUUUUGUUUUGAAUUGUUUUGUGGAAAAAUCAGAAAAUUAAGUGAAAAGUGUUAAAUUCCCACUUUUUGACCAGCCCUGGAAUUCAGCUUUAACUUCACUUCCAGAUCUCAGUAAAGAAUGAAUUGGCAGCAGCCCCAAGUGGAAACACCAUCAUUUGAACCCUUUGAACUGGACAGGCCAAGGUAGUUGACCGUAUACCGCAGGCAACCAUCCUAUGGAGGCAGGGGAUAUGGACUAAGGUCACUCAAUAGGUCUUGCUUUCCUCGGGUUUCUAUUAUUCCGUGCUAAUAAGAGUGGGGCUAUUUUGAAAACCCUAAUUCAUUCAAAUUUGCUAUCUCAUUAGCUUCUACAUAGCAACUCAUACUACUUUCUUGCGGGUAUGUUUACAUUGCACAUGAAAGGUGUGACUGUGACACGGAUAGGCAUAUUCAGGUUAGCUUUAAUCUAGAUUCAAAAUGGGUUACCAAUCAGAGUAGUACCCAGGGUCCCUGGUGGGCUUGUACUCCAGUUGGUAGCCCAUGCUGAUACCUGUGCCACCACAUGUAUGCUGCUAUUGUUAUGCAGGCUAGUUAGAUUACAUCUAACCUUGGUAUGUCUAAUUUGCUACAAUCACACCUUUAGUUUGCAGUGUAGACAUAUCCUGAGGGGAUGGAUGUAUAGAUAGGACCACAUCUUCAGCUGGUGUAAAUUGGUAUAGCUUCAUUUAGGUCAAUAGAGUUAAGCCCGCUGAGACGCUAGCCUUUGGUGUGUAUUAUAGGCAGCUGGUAGCUUGUUGCCUGACACUGCCCAUUAUGAGCAAAGGUAUCAGCAAGUGAAAAUAGGGACUAAGUUUUACUGUUCGAGCUGAAAUUUGCCAAGCGCUGCCAACCUUAACUCCGGCAUUUCCUAACUUUUGAGUGCUUGACUUUUCAAACUUAAUAAUGUUCUUUUAAAAUGUAGGGGGAGGAGGGUGUUGAUACAUAAUUAUUAUUUAAUUAGCACCUUCAGUGUACUUGGCACUAUACAGUUAAAAAAAAGAAUUAAACUGUCCCUGCCCUGACUGACAAUCUUACAGUCUAAAAUCUGUAAUUCACACCCACCCUGCACCUUUCAGUGUGUCUGAGUAUAUGUAUAAUGCCUCACCCAAGUCCUGGCACUUUGCUUGCAGUAACUGAACUAAGCUUCGUUCUCCAUUGGCUCACGUAGGCCUGGUCUGCGCUUUGAAUUCAGGUUGUCAUGGCUUCAUUGCUCAGGGAUGUGAAAAAUCCACAACCUUCGGCAUCAUCACUAUUCCAACCUAACCCCCACCCCCGCAUAGAGGCAGCUACGUUGACUGAAGAAGGGUUCCUACCAGCUAGCUACCAUCGCUCGGAGAGGCGGUAUUCCUACCUUUCCAUCGCUGUAGGAUGUGUAUAUGGGGUUGUGCCAACAUAGCUGUGGUGCUGUAGCUAUGCCAUUAUAGUUCUCAUAGUGUAGACAAGGAUCUGUAAUAUUCUAUACAAGUCCUGGCCCUUACCCUGCUGUAACUGAACUAGAUUCAUUCUCUAUUGUGGCUGCUCUGGCAACCUUUCCUUGUCCUUGUCAAAGCAGUCCUUUUUUCAGUCUCUUUGGCACACCACAGGCAAGCAGCACUUACGCUUCCUGAUAGCCCGCAAUGUUUUAUUUUUGGCAGUUGUCAGGUAGAUGGAAGUAUUAUCCUGAUGUUUCAGCCUCCAAGAUCAUCUUUGGGGACACCUCUAGCCAAGGUCUGGAAUGGUCGAAAUAUCUGCUUGUUUCUUUCCACCUGAUACAAAUAAACCCUUUGAAGGGCAGAUACAAGAGAGGGUUCUAGCCCUCCUGUACCUGAUAGCUUCUGGGCUGCUUCUCCUCUCAGGCUGGUGCCCAUUGAAGGUCCCAGUUACUGAGAUUUUGAGCACUUCACAGCCUUUAAUGCACUUCUCACCACCACACCCUGUGAGGUAGGGCAGUGCUAUUAUCCCCAUGGGAAACUGAGACACAGAGAAGCUAAGUGGCUUGCCCAGGAUGUCUGGUGCAGAGCAGAAAUUGAACCUAUGUCUCCCAAAUUCUAAGAUAGCUCUUAACCACUGGACCACAUUCCCUGUCCUAAGCCAAGAGUACUAUUGAAAUGAAUGGGGUUAUACCAGGUUUGUCUCAGCAGAACCGUGCCCCUCUCUAGAUAUCCCACACCCCCUCAGAAACAUGCAUCCCAAAAGUGGGCUGUUCUCAAGCAGUGGACAGUGAAAUACUGCACAGAUUGCCUUGGUCAUGAUGUAGCUGAGCAAGGGACCUACAAGGAGAAUGUGGGGGUGUAUGCAUCAGGGGCAAGUGAAGUCAUGUGAGGUUGUGAACAGUCCCUGAGCAGCUCUACCACGGGGUCUUAUCGGUGUGAAUUUGUCAGGUGUAACAAGCUGUAUGUUUAUGUGCCACUAGUUGCCUCUCUCUACUUCAAAGCUGGAACAAUCUGCCCUGGAACAGGCUGACCUUUGGCAUAAAUAUUUCUUUUUUCCUAACUCAGGGGUGCUUGACCGAAGAAUUGAGGAAAGCUGAAGCAGUCUUGGUUUUUUGUCCACUUUCUUUGACAACGUAACAAGGCUGCUGUUUUCCUCCUGGCACGAUGUGAGAGAUCAGUGUUACCACUGGAGCAAACGCCCAGGCUGGUGGUGAUCACACCUUAACCUUAAUACAAGAAACACAAAGUCUUGUUUCAGAUACAUAGAAACCAGAGUGAUUUCACCCUGUGUCUGUGUGAAAUUGUGCUUCUGGGGAAUAAAUAAUGUGUAAUCCGAUCAGGCUAAGAUCACAGACGAAUAAAUAUUCAUUGCCUUUUAAUAUGAACCCAGUGCUUAAUUUGUAGAGAGGGGCCAGGGCUCAAACCGAGUACGCUGCCUGGAGGAUGCCAUUUUGCAGAGCAGGCCGCUUCGCCCUCAACGACAUGACCUCUAACUCAUGGUGCAUGGAGGCUGACGUGACAGAAGAGGUAGCUCUGGCAAAAAUUAAGCUCUGCUCAAACGCUUGUUUCAAGGUGGAUAGCUCAGGGGAACGAAAGCCAGAACUCCUGGCUUCUGUUCCUGACUUUUCCACUGACUCAUUUGGUGACUUUGGCCGUGUUACUUUGAGUAAAAUUUUCAAGUGUCUAAGUGACCUAGGAGCCUGGAUAUAAUUUUCAAAAGGGAUUUAGGUACCUUGUCUCAUUAAAAGUCAAUGAGAUGUACACACUUUUGAAAAUGUUAUCCUAUCUCUCCCUUUCCCACAAUUAAAUUAGGUUCAGUUGUUUGUAAAAACACAUUGAGAUCAGCAUAUACAAGGUGCUACCAUAAGUGCUGUAUUUAUAUUUAUAAAUGAAGAGUGCGUGAAGUUUGCUGUUGCAGUUAAUGUCCACUUUGGAGAAUUUCAGUCUUAUCCAUUUAUAAGUUGAGAAAGGAAAAUGAGUGACUUAAAAAAGAAGGUAAGUAAGUAUAUUUAAUCAAGCUUGUUUGGUUUCUCUUCUGGCAACUUCUGAAUAAAGUUCACUUGUGUUUGUACCAGA